ACAGCAGCAGCCGCGGUAAUACGAAGGGGGCUAGCGUUGUUCGGAUUUACUGGGCGUAAAGCGCACGUAGGCGGACUUUUAAGUCAGGGGUGAAAUCCCGGGGCUCAACCCCGGAACUGCCUUUGAUACUGGAAGUCUUGAGUAUGGUAGAGGUGAGUGGAAUUCCGAGUGUAGAGGUGAAAUUCGUAGAUAUUCGGAGGAACACCAGUGGCGAAGGCGGCUCACUGGACCAUUACUGACGCUGAGGUGCGAAAGCGUGGGGAGCAAACAGGAUUAGAUACCCGCGUAGUCCCUGUCUCUUAUAC
rnacentral:rRNA from 1 species